ensembl:lincRNA linc-65 ncRNA
AGCCGCCCACAACAUGACUCGACGACCCGGCAAACUGUUUUUUAUCUGGAAAUACGGUACUCCAUUUUCAAGAGACAACUGCAGUUGAAUCGAAGAAGGCGGACUACUCAAAGUGCAACCACCUAUAAUUUGAACUCGAAUUUUAUUUUUUAAAAACUUUUUUCCGCACACUUUUCAACUGUGCAUGCCUUUUCGCGAAAGAAAUUUCGAGACAGAAUAAAUGUAGUUUAAAUGUG